rfam:Oryzias latipes DNA, chromosome14, strain: Hd-rR.
CCAACGGCUCUUUUAAGAGCCACUAAAUUAAUUCAGAGCUUUUAUU